rnacentral:rRNA from 1 species
GAUGAACGCUGGCGGCGUGCCUAGUACAUGCAAGUCGAGCGAACAGACGAGGAGCUUGCUCCUCUGACGUUAGCGGCGGACGGGUGAGUAACACGUGGAUAACCUACCUAUAAGACUGGGAUAACUUCGGGAAACCGGAGCUAAUACCGGAUAAUAUAUUGAACCGCAUGGUUCAAUAGUGAAAGACGGUUUUGCUGUCACUUAUAGAUGGAUCCGCGCCGCAUUAGCUAGUUGGUAAGGUAACGGCUUACCAAGGCGACGAUGCGUAGCCGACCCGAGAGGGUGAUCGGCCACACGGGAACUGAGACACGGUCCAGACUCCUACGGGAGGCAGCAGUAGGGAAUCUUCCGCAAUGGGCGAAAGCCUGACGGAGCAACGCCGCGUGAGUGAUGAAGGUCUUCGGAUCGUAAAACUCUGUUAUUAGGGAAGAACAAAUGUGUAAGUAACUAUGCACGUCUUGACGGUACCUAAUCAGAAAGCCACGGCUAACUACGUG